AAAUUGAAGAGUUUGAUCAUGGCUCAGAUUGAACGCUGGCGGCAGGCCUAACACAUGCAAGUCGAACGGUAACAGGAAGCAGCUUGCUGCUUCGCUGACGAGUGGCGGACGGGUGAGUAAUGUCUGGGAAACUGCCUGAUGGAGGGGGAUAACUACUGGAAACGGUGGCUAAUACCGCAUAACGUCGCAAGACCAAAGAGGGGGACCUUCGGGCCUCUUGCCAUCAGAUGUGCCCAGAUGGGAUUAGCUAGUUGGUGAGGUAACGGCUCACCAAGGCGACGAUCCCUAGCUGGUCUGAGAGGAUGACCAGCCACACUGGAACUGAGACACGGUCCAGACUCCUACGGGAGGCAGCAGUGGGGAAUAUUGCACAAUGGGCGCAAGCCUGAUGCAGCCAUGCCGCGUGUAUGAAGAAGGCCUUCGGGUUGUAAAGUACUUUCAGCGGGGAGGAAGGUGUUGUGGUUAAUAACCGCAGCAAUUGACGUUACCCGCAGAAGAAGCACCGGCUAACUCCGUGCCAGCAGCCGCGGUAAUACGGAGGGUGCAAGCGUUAAUCGGAAUUACUGGGCGUAAAGCGCACGCAGGCGGUCUGUCAAGUCGGAUGUGAAAUCCCCGGGCUCAAC
rnacentral:rRNA from 1 species